GGAGGAGUCGGAUAGUGGUCUAUUCCACAUCCUUGGAAAGGAUGCAAGCGCAAGCUUACGCGAGUUCGAAUCUCGCCUCCUCCGCCA
rnacentral:tRNA from 1 species